UGGAAUAAGCUAUCAUUUUGUAAACUCACGGAUUUAUCACACUGAUAUACAUUGGCUUUAACUUUAGCAGGAAAGUAAUUAUAUGUGACAGUUCUAGAUGAUAUUGUUGCAUCACUUAACAUUUUACUAUUGUGGACAAAAAAAAGGUUCUGAAUCGGCUUUUGGUAAAAUAUUUGUAUAGAUGCAUUUGGUUAAAAGUUGCCAAAGCUGUUAAAUGAAUGUACAGCAUCAGGGCUGUCAUCGGCGGCGGAAGAAAUGUUGGCUUGGCAAGACUUGGAAUCUGACUACUCCAUGCACACAGAGACGGUGGGAGUUUGGAGGGGAGCUACAUUGAAAGUGAGCUGACUGACUUGAUCCUGUCAUUGCCUGCUUUGGAUUGCAACCCAAUGUGAUCGAUGGAGUUUGAGCAUUUUAUGGAUCAGUUUGCACUCUCAAAGUCAAUGAAGAAACUCCUCUAAAGUAAGACCUUGCUCCAUUAUCUCUAUGCAGUGUGAUGUUUUGUUUAUUGUGCAUUAUCCUAAGCUUGUGUAGUGGAUGUUUAUCGUGGCUGUUUUUUUAUUUGGCUUGGUUGACCUGCUUGUGGAUGGUUAUUGAACAUCAUUUCUGCUAUAGAUUCAUCUCUUUAUGACAUUGUUUUCAUGAGUUCAGUUUGUCUUGUCACAUGAUCAGCCUGAUGUUGUGGUUGGUGUUACUGUUCUCUGGCUAUAAGUAGAGUGCUGAAGGGUAGCUGCAGUUAUUGAGAAGGGUUAUCAUAUCAAACUGUUAUUAUGCAACUUGAGACAAGUUAGGUGUGCAUGAUUCUGUGUUCUAUGUGGUAUUCAGAAGUGUAUAUUGGCAUUGAUACUAGAGCUGCAAUGAUUAGUAAACACAUUGUAAAUUCUGUCAAAUAAUUUCCUGUUUCUCUGUUUUAUAUCAUAUUAAACAGAAUAUUUGGUU